GGGGGGAAAAUCGAUUUCCCAGGAUUAGGAACAUUUGGUUGAAGUGGUGGACGAUUCGGGAUUAAUGCUGGCACAUCGGACCCUGGAGGCGACUGCGAGCAAGUGUCUUGACAAGGAGACGCAGGUGGUGGUGGCGGUGGACAUUCAGGGAGAGCCGGAGGCGGUGGUGAUGGUGGUGGACAUUCAGGGAGAGCCGGAGGCGGUGGUGAUGGUGGUGGCGGUGAUGGUGAUGGUGGUGGCGGGCAUUCAACAACUGGUGGUGGUGGGGGCGGUGAUGAUGGCACAGGGCACGGGUUGGGGCACUCGUCACACAUCGUGC
rnacentral:lncRNA from 1 species